GGUCCUAAGGUAGCGAAAUUCCUUGUCGGGUAAGUUCCGACCUGCACGAAUGGCGUAAUGAUGGCCAGGCUGUCUCCACCCGAGACUCAGUGAAAUUGAACUCGCUGUGAAGAUGCAGUGUACCCGCGGCAAGACGGAAAGACCCCGUGAACCUUUACUAUAGCUUGACACUGAACAUUGAGCCUUGAUGUGUAGGAUAGGUGGGAGGCUUUGAAGUGUGGACGCCAGUCUGCAUGGAGCCGACCUUGAAAUACCACCCUUUAAUGUUUGAUGUUCUAACGUUGACCCGUAAUCCGGGUUGCGGACAGUGUCUGGUGGGUAGUUUGACUGGGGCGGUCUCCUCCUAAAGAGUAACGGAGGAGCACGAAGGUUGGCUAAUCCUGGUCGGACAUCAGGAGGUUAGUGCAAUGGCAUAAGCCAGCUUGACUGCGAGCGUGACGGCGCGAGCAGGUGCGAAAGCAGGUCAUAGUGAUCCGGUGGUUCUGAAUGGAAGGGCCAUCGCUCAACGGAUAAAAGGUACUCCGGGGAUAACAGGCUGAUACCGCCCAAGAGUUCAUAUCGACGGCGGUGUUUGGCACCUCGAUGUCGGCUCAUCACAUCCUGGGGCUGAAGUAGGUCCCAAGGGUAUGGCUGUUCGCCAUUUAAAGUGGUACGCGAGCUGGGUUUAGAACGUCGUGAGACAGUUCGGUCCCUAUCUGCCGUGGGCGCUGGAGAACUGAGGGGGGCUGCUCCUAGUACGAGAGGACCGGAGUGGACGCAUCACUGGUGUUCGGGUUGUCAUGCCAAUGGCACUGCCCGGUAGCUAAAUGCGGAAGAGAUAAGUGCUGAAAGCAUCUAAGCACGAAACUUGCCCCGAGAUGAGUUCUCCCUGACUCCUUGAGAGUCCUGAAGGAACGUUGAAGACGACGACGUUGAUAGGCCGGGUGUGUAAGCGCAGCGAUGCGUUGAGCUAACCGGUACUAAUGAACCGUGAGG
rnacentral:rRNA from 1 species